ACCCCUUCAUUUCCAUACACUGUGCACACACUUCUUUUCACACAUUUUAACACUAUAGUAUAAGAAUGUAACAGUCUCUUUAUUGAGCAUAAAUAAAAAUAAAACUUUCAGCAACGGAUCUCUUGGCUCUCGCAUCGAUGAAGAACGCAGCGAAUUGCGAUAAGUAAUGUGAAUUGCAGAAUUCAGUGAAUCAUCGAAUCUUUGAACGCACCUUGCACUCUUUGGUAUUCCGAAGAGUAUGUCUGUUUGAGUGUCAUGAAACUCUCAACCCCCCUAUUUUGUAAUGAGAUGGGCGUGGGCUUGGAUUAUGACUGUUGUCGGCGUAAUUGCCGGCUCAGUUGAAAUACACGAGCAACCCAUUUGAAAUAAACGGUUUGACUUGGCGUAAUAAUUAUUUCGCUAAGGACGUUUUCUUCAAAAGUAAGAGGUGCUUCUAAUGCGCUAUUACAGCACUUUAAAUUUUAGACCUCAAAUCAGUCAGGACUACCCGCUGAACUUAAGCAUAUCAAUAAGCGGAGGAAAAGAAACUAACAAGGAUUCCCCUAGUAACGGCGAGUGAAGUGGGAAAAGCUCAACUUUGAAAUCUGGUACUUUCAGUAUCCGAAUUGUAGUCUCAAGAAGUGUUUUCUGUGCCGGUCCAUGUAUGAGUCUGUUGGAACACAGCGUCAUAGAGGGUGACAACCCCGUUCAUGACAUGGAUCCCGGUGCUUUGUGAUACAC
rnacentral:rRNA from 1 species